rnacentral:rRNA from 1 species
ACUCCUACGGGAGGCAGCAGUGGGGAAUCUUGCACAAUGGGGGAAACCCUGAUGCAGCGAUGCCGCGUGAGUGAAGAAGGCCUUUGGGUUGUAAAGCUCUUUCGUCGGGGAAGAUAAUGGCUGUACCCGAAUAAGAAGGUCCGGCUAACUUCGUGCCAGCAGCCGCGGUAAUACGAAGGGACCUAGCGUAGUUCGGAAUUACUGGGCUUAAAGAGCACGUAGGUGGUUAAGAAAGUUGGUGGUGAAAUCCCAAGGCUUAACCUUGGAACUGCCACCAAAACUUUUUAACUAGAGUAUGAUUGAGGUAAGCGGAAUUUCUAGUGUAGAGGUGAAAUUCGUAGAUAUUAGAAAGAACACCAAUUGCGAAGGCAGCUUUCUGGAUCAUUACUGACACUGAGGUGCGAAAGCAUGGGUAGCGAAGAGGAUUAGAUACCCUCGUAGUCCAUGCCGUAAACGAUGUGUGCUAGACGUUGGGAAUUUAUUUUUCAGUGUCGCAGCAAAAGCGUUAAGCACACCGCCUGGGGAGUACGACCGCAAGGUUAAAACUCAAAUGAAUUGACGGGGACCCGCACAAGUAGUGGAGCAUGUGGUUUAAUUCGAAGAUACGCGCAGAACCUUACCAACACUUGACAUGUUCGUCGCGACUCUAAGAGAUUAGAGUUUUCGGUUCGGCCGGACGAAACACAGGUGCUGCAUGGCUGUCGUCAGCUCGUGUCGUGAGAUGUUGGGUUAAGUCCCGCAACGAGCGCAACCCUUACUUUUAGUUGCUACCAUUUAGUUGGGCACUCUAAAAGAACUGCCAGUGAUAAGCUGGAGGAAGGGUGGGGGAUGACGUCAAGUCCUCAUGGCCCUUAUGUGUUGGGCUACACACGUGCUACAAUGGUAUUUACAGAGGGAAGCUAAGAGGCAACUCCGAG